rnacentral:rRNA from 1 species
UACGAAGGGAGCUAGCGUUGUUCGGAAUCACUGGGCGUAAAGCGCACGUAGGCGGAUGUGUCAGUCAGGGGUGAAAUCCUGGAGCUCAACUCCAGAACUGCCUUUGAUACUGAGGAUCUUGAGUUCGGGAGAGGUGAGUGGAACUGCGAGUGUAGAGGUGAAAUUCGUAGAUAUUCGCAAGAACACCAGUGGCGAAGGCGGCUCACUGGUCCGGUACUGACGCUGAGGUGCGAAAGCGUGGGGAGCAAACAGG